rnacentral:rRNA from 1 species
GACAGAGGGUGCAAACGUUGUUCGGAAUUACUGGGCGAAAGCGUGUGUAGGCGGCUUCGCAAGUCGGAUGUGAAAGCCCCGGGCUCAACCCGGGGAAGUGCACUCGAUACUGCGGAGCUAGAGUGUCGGAGAGGUUGGUGGAAUUCUCGGUGUAGAGGUGAAAUUCGUAGAUAUCGAGAGGAACACCGGUGGCGAAGGCGGCCAACUGGACGAACACUGACGCUGAGGCGCGAAAAGCGUGGGGGAGCAAAACAGGG